rnacentral:rRNA from 1 species
UACGUAGGGUGCAAGCGUUAAUCGGAAUUACUGGGCGUAAAGCGUGCGCAGGCGGUUUUGUAAGUCUGUCGUGAAAUCCCCGGGCUCACCUGGGAAUUGCGAUGAAGACUGCAAGGCUUGAAUCUGGCAGAGGGGGGUAGAAUUCCACGUGUAGCUGUGAAAUGCGUAGAGAUGUGGAGGAACACCGGAUGGCCGAAGGCAGCCCCCUGGGUCAAGAUUGACGCUCAUGCACGAAAGCGUGGGGAGCAAACAGG